rnacentral:rRNA from 1 species
GUGCCAGCCGCCGCGGUAAUACGGAGGGUGCAAGCGUUGUUCGGAUUUACUGGGCGUAAAGAGCGCGUAGGCGGUUAGGCAAGUCAGGUGUGAAAUCCCUUGGCUCAACCAAGGAAGUGCAUUUGAAACUGCUUAACUAGAGUACAGUAGGGGAAAGUGGAAUUCCCAGUGUAGAGGUGAAAUUCAUAGAUAUUGGGAGGAACACCGGUAGCGAAGGCGGCUUUCUGGCCUGAUACUGACGCUGAGACGCGAAAGCGUGGGGAGCAAACAGGAUUAGAAACCCUAGUAGUCC